AUGACAUACACGUAUGAAAAUGGCAACGAAACCCAUUGUUUUGUAAAACUCAAAGUAAGCAACAGCAUGGCGUUCUCAGAAGCCCUGAACUAGCCCUUGUGGGAGCACUGACAGAGUACCCUGUACCAGACACAGCACCAACUAGACUGUUGCCCAUUCUUGUCAGGAUUAUGGUGUAUGAGGCAGUGAUCACAGUGAAGAGACACGUUUUCAUGAAGCUUCAGUGUGGAAGAGGCAAAUGCCAAAGAUGUAACGGAGUGUUGAAGCCCAGUGGAGAGCAGGCUGCUUUGAGACAGAUUCAACUUCAGCUAUGAAAACACCAUUGAGAGAAGAGGAAAGGUCCCAGGAGUGAUGAGUGCCAACCUCCUGACCUCAGGCAUUACUCCUUCUUUGGACCCCAUGUCUACCACCCAGAGCCAGAGCUAUUCAAGGAAGGGACACACAGAACCAGCCAUUGCUACCGCAUUACCUACCGGCACAUGGAACGGACACUGUCCCAGAGAGAAGUCAGCAGUGUCCACCAGGCUGUGCAGGAGGCCGCUGUGCAGCUACUGGGUGUGGAAGGCCGUUUUUGAUAUCAUGCAUUACACAGGCUGCAGCCCUCACGGAGCUCCAGGACUCGCCAGAAAGGGGAAACACAUUGUUUGUGAACUGGAGUGUCUGUCCUCGUUUGAUAAAUGGGUCUGCUUUAGGACUUUCAGGAAAUAAAGGAUCACUUUUUAGAAGC
rnacentral:lncRNA from 1 species